rnacentral:rRNA from 1 species
AGAACGAACGCUGGCGGCGUGGAUAAGACAUGCAAGUCGAACGCUGACAUUUAGGUAGCAAUAUUUGAAUGUCGGAGUGGCGCAAGGGUGUGUAACACGUGGGCAAUCUGCCGUGAAGACUGGAAUAACUCGCUGAAAGGCGAGCUAAUACCGGAUGUGAACGCAAGUUCAAAGUUGGGGACCGCAAGGCCUGACGCUUUACGAUGAGCCCGCGGCCUAUCAGCUAGUUGGUGAGGUAACGGCUCACCAAGGCUAAGACGGGUAGC